AGGGAUGAGGAACAGCGGUCUGGCACAUCUCAGAACAGGACAGGAUCAGUUCUAGCCAGUUCUAAAGAGCUGUGAGCCAAGCAAGCUACUCUGUCCAGUCUGAGGGAAGAACCAAGAAGGAGACUGGGUGCUGGCUUCAAGACAGAAUUUGACAGACAAUAGAGAAACCAUUGUUUCAUGCUGAUUCCCGAAUCCUGGGGCAAGCCUACCC